UGGAUGGAUGAGGUGUGGUACGAUGGCGCAAACGCUGGUGCACAAUGUGGGCAUGGUGUAUAAUUGAUAAGACUGUUCUCAUGCCAAUCUUUUGAAACAAUGGCAGAGGGCCAUAUCUGACUCUAAAAAAGCCACAUGGUCUGACCCACUGGCUUGAACUCACAGUCCUUACGACAGCACAGGCCCUGACUGGGACUGAUGGACAGGAGAGAGAAACCAUCAUGCACAAAUGAAUCAAGGGUUUUCCGGGCCUGAGUCGACACUGGACUCCUACAGGCUGUUUCGCACUGAAGCAGCAGGGAUCUGUGUUGUAGUGGCCAACAUCACAUUCCUCGCCUUGCUCCACAAUCUGGUUUCCACAGAUUGGUUGA